ACCUUGUGAAUUCAUACGGAUAACUUCCAAUUAAAAUUCAGGACUACAGCCUGAUCUCGGAAGCUAAGCAGGGUUGGGCCUGGUUAUUACUUGGAUGGGCGACCACCUAGGAAGACCAGGUGCUAUAGGUA
ensembl:rRNA 5S_rRNA 5S ribosomal RNA